UGCGAGCUAUAACCUAGUGGAAUACGUUUAUUUAUCGGUUUUAAGUAGGUUAUAGACCGCUGA
rnacentral:pre_miRNA from 1 species